AACUAAGUUUGUUCUUAGUACUGUAUAAGCUUUCUUGUGCAUGCACACUUAUUCAGAUACCAUCUGCUGAAGUAUCUGAAGAAGUGUGCAUGCACACAAAAGCUUAUACCAAGAAGAAACUUAGUUG